GAUGAACGCUAGCUACAGGCUUAACACAUGCAAGUCGAGGGGUCUGCUUCGGCAGACGACCGGCGCACGGGUGAGUAACGCGUAUCCAACCUGCCCUUCAUAUUGGGAUAGCCUCUCGAAAGGGAGAUUAAUACCGAAUAACAUGAGAUAGUUGCCUGAUUUUCUCAUGAAAGCUCCGGCGAUGAAGGAUGGGGAUGCGUUCCAUUAGGUAGUAGGCGGGGUAACGGCCCACCUAGCCGACGAUGGAUAGGGGUUCUGAGAGGAAGGUCCCCCACACUGGAACUGAGACACGGUCCAGACUCCUACGGGAGGCAGCAGUGAGGAAUAUUGGUCAAUGGUCGGAAGACUGAACCAGCCAAGUAGCGUGAAGGAUGACUGCCCUACGGGUUGUAAACUUCUUUUGUUUGGGAAUAAAAGACGCUACGUGUAGCGUUCUGCAUGUACCUUACGAAUAAGCAUCGGCUAAUUCCGUG
rnacentral:rRNA from 1 species